GUUGUUGUGGUGUAGUGGUUAUCACGUCAGUCUUACCAACUGAAGGUCUCCAGUUCAAUCCUGGGGCAGCAACA